CGGACGGGUGAGUAACGCGUGGGUAACCUGCCUCAUACAGGGGGAUAACAGUUAGAAAUGACUGCUAAUACCGCAUAAGCGCACGAGAUCGCAUGAUAAAGUGUGAAAAACUCCGGUGGUAUGAGAUGGACCCGCGUCUGAUUAGCUGGUUGGUGGGGUAACGGCCCACCAAGGCGACGAUCAGUAGCCGACCUGAGAGGGUGACCGGCCACAUUGGGACUGAGACACGGCCCAAACUCCUACGGGAGGCAGCAG
rnacentral:rRNA from 1 species